CAGUGGGGAAUCUUCCGCAAUGGGCGAAAGCCUGACGGAGCAACGCCGCGUGAGCGAAAAAGGCCUUCGGGUUGUAAAGCUCUGUGAUAUCAGACGAACGGUCUUAGAGUGAAUAACACUAAGACAUGACGGUAUGGUAAGAGGAAGCCCCGGCUAACUACGUGCCAGCAGCCGCGGUAAUACGUAGGGGGCAAACGUUGUCCGGAAUGACUGGGCGUAAAGGGCGAGUAGGUGGUUUGCCAAGUCAGGAGUGAAAACUCCGGGCUCAACCUGGAGAUUGCUACUGAAACUGGCAGACUUGAGUGCAGGAGAGGGAAGCGGAAUUCCUAGUGUAGCGGUGAAAUGCGUAGAUAUUAGGAGGAACACCAGUGGCGAAGGCGGCUUCCUGGCCUGUAACUGACACUGAGGCGCGAAAGCGUGGGGAGCGAACAGGAUUAGAUACCCUGGUAGUCCACGCCGUAAACGAUGAGUGCUAGGUGUUGGGGGUAUCGACCCCCUCAGUGCCGCAGUAAACGCA
rnacentral:rRNA from 1 species